UCAGACGAUGCGUCAUGCAUAUCAAUAAGCGGAGGAAAAGAAACUAACAAGGAUUCCCUCAGUAACGGCGAGUGAAGCGGGAAGAGCUCAAAUUUGAAAUCUUGAAAGGUCACCUUUCACGAAUUGUAGUUUAAAGAAGUGUUUUCUGUUACGAUCGUAAUAUAAGUUCUUUGGAAUAGGACAUCACAGAGGGUGAGAAUCCCGUCUAUGAUUGCGAUUUGUAGCUUUGUGAUACACUUUCAAAGAGUCGGGUUGUUUGGGAAUGCAGCCCAAAACGGGAGGUAAAUUUCUUCUAAGGCUAAAUAUUGGCGAGAGACCGAUAGCGAACAAGUACCGUGAGGGAAAGAUGAAAAGAACUUUGAAAAGAGAGUUAAAUAGUACGUGAAAUUGUCAAAAGGGAAGCGUUUAACACCAGUGUUGUUUUCUGAAAAUCAACCUCUGUUAGCUUUAUGCAUGUUUGUUUAGACCUAAUCAGCUAUCUUGCAUUGUUCUAUUGUUUGCAGUGGUGCACUUUUCAGUUUACAGGUCAACAUCAGUUUUUUUUACCGUAAAAAAGUUAAAGAAAGGUAGCUCAUGGCUCCGGUCGUGAGUGUUAUAGUCUUUUUCCUAUGCGGUAGGAGAGACUGAGGUCUGCAGUGUAGGCUAUUUGGCUAGAUACUCAGGUGCUAUGUGAUACCAUUUCAUAAACAACUUGUUGAUUAUGUUUUGUCUAUUGCAUACUCGCUUGUACUAUCAUACCUACGCUUAGGAUGUUGAUCUGUAGUGCGUGCGC
rnacentral:rRNA from 1 species